rnacentral:rRNA from 1 species
CCUACGGGGCGCAGCAGUGAGGAAUAUUGGUCAAUGGCCGGAAGGCUGAACCAGCCAAGCCGCAUGAAGGACGAAGGUGCCAAGCAUUGUAAACUUCUUUUGUCAAGGGACAAAAUCAGGCUCGAGAGCCUGACCGCGGGUACUUGAAGAAAAAGCAUAGGCUAACUCCGUGCCAGCAGCCGCGGUAAUACGGAGGAUGCGAGGGGUUUCCGGUUUUAUUGGGUUUAAAGGGUGCGUAGGCGGGCUGUUAAGUCAGCGGGAAAAGCCCCGGGCCAAACCCGGGCGAGCCGUUGAAACUGGCUGACUUGAGAGCACGAGAGGUAAGGGGAAUGCGCAGUGUAGCGGUGAAAUGCUUAGAUAUAGGGCGGAACUCCGAUUGCGAAGGCAACAUUCCGGC